ensembl:lncRNA
ACGGACUAGUUUAGUUACAGUUGACAUUUAUAAGAGCUGCUUCUGAUUCCAGAUGCUUUUUUGACAUAGAACAGCCUGAUGGGUGAGCAAGCUUUUUUUUUAUUUAUUUUUUUUUUUUUAUUAAUAAUUUAUGCACAGGAAUACACUUUUGUUAUGUUGACAGGACAGCAGUAUUGGAUGCAGUGCGCUCAUGAAAUUACAAUUAAUAUUGCUAGGAAUAAACACAAUUUUAUUGCUUUUAAAUAUAGCAUAAAAGUACAAAUCAGUAAUGCUAUUUUCGAAUUAAUCGCGGAAGCAAUUUCAUGUGGUAUUGUUUUUGCCAGAUAAGUGAUGAUUCCCUGCUGAAUGCAUUAUAUAAUGUGCAAAUGUUCCAAAUAGCAUUUUUUUUUGUCUCCAUUUGUUUUGUUCUGUGUUUAUAUUUAAUCGCCUGUCCUGGUUAAAUGAAAAAGCUUAAUCAAAUGCGUGCUACUCAAUGAGCAAUUGUAAACAAAUGCAUAUUUUAUGGUUAGUUUAUGCAAAGGAACAUUGCAAUCUUGUUAAAUCCAAUCCCCUUCAUUCACUGACAGCUUCAUCUCCGCUUACAGCAGGAGUCUCUGCAAUAAUGAAAAAAACAAAAAAACAACACAAAAAACACAGAGGUUUUAGUAUGUGGCGCUUCAGUUAUGAAGGAUGUCUGGGAAAUCAGACUGAGGGAGUAUCGACAGAAAUGGCAGCUGGAAGAGGAGAGGAUACGGAAGAGUGCUCUGGAAAGUGAUUGCAACAAAUUUACCAUCAUGCAGAGGGAUAGAAAUGAGGAAAGUGCAUCAGACUGGAAUAAGUCCUGAAAGUCAACGAAGCCUGUAAAAUAAGAUGUUAAGUCUGAUUUAAUUCAACCCAAAGCUAAUGAGAAAAGACAACCUGAAUUAUCAUGGAAUCAUUCUUGGAUGCAUUUUAAGAAGCAGCUUCAUGUGAAGUCUACAACUAUAAAUAAAUCAGGUUGGAGUGAAUCUUGGAGAGCUGCA